rnacentral:rRNA from 1 species
UACAUGGGGUGCAAACGUUGCUCGGAAUUAUUGGGCGUAAAGCGCGCGUAGGCAGUUACUCAAGUCAGAUGUGAAAGCCCUCGACUUAACUGAGGAAGUGCACCCGAAACUGAGUAGCUAGAGUACCAAAGAGGGUCGCGGAAUUCCCGGUGUAGAGGUGAAAUUCGUAGAUAUCGGGAGGAACACCGGUGGCGAAGACGGCGACCUGGAUGGAUACUGACGCUGAGGCACAAAAGCGUGAGGAGCAAACAGG